AGUCAGAGGCGAUGAAGGACGUGCUAAUCUGCGAUAAGCGUCGGUAAGGUGAUAUGAACCGUUAUAACCGGCGAUUUCCGAAUGGGGAAACCCAGUGUGUUUCGACACACUAUCAUUAACUGAAUCCAUAGGUUAAUGAGGCGAACCGGGGGAACUGAAACAUCUAAGUACCCCGAGGAAAAGAAAUCAACCGAGAUUCCCCCAGUAGCGGCGAGCGAACGGGGAGCAGCCCAGAGCCUGAAUCAGUGUGUGUGUUAGUGGAAGCGUCUGGAAAGGCGCGCGAUACAGGGUGACAGCCCCGUACACAAAAAUGCACAUGCUGUGAGCUCGAUGAGUAGGGCGGGACACGUGGUAUCCUGUCUGAAUAUGGGGGGACCAUCCUCCAAGGCUAAAUACUCCUGACUGACCGAUAGUGAACCAGUACCGUGAGGGAAAGGCGAAAAGAACCCCGGCGAGGGGAGUGAAAAAGAACCUGAAACCGUGUACGUACAAGCAGUGGGAGCACGCUUCGGCGUGUGACUGCGUACCUUUUGUAUAAUGGGUCAGCGACUUAUAUUCUGUAGCAAGGUUAACCGAAUAGGGGAGCCGAAGGGAAACCGAGUCUUAACUGGGCGUUAAGUUGCAGGGUAUAGACCCGAAACCCGGUGAUCUAGCCAUGGGCAGGUUGAAGGUUGGGUAACACUAACUGGAGGACCGAACCGACUAAUGUUGAAAAAUUAGCGGAUGACUUGUGGCUGGGGGUGAAAGGCCAAUCAAACCGGGAGAUAGCUGGUUCUCCCCGAAAGCUAUUUAGGUAGCGCCUCGUGAAUUCAUCUCCGGGGGUAGAGCACUGUUUCGGCAAGGGGGUCAUCCCGACUUACCAACCCGAUGCAAACUGCGAAUACCGGAGAAUGUUAUCACGGGAGACACACGGCGGGUGCUAACGUCCGUCGUGAAGAGGGAAACAACCCAGACCGCCAGCUAAGGUCCCAAAGUCAUGGUUAAGUGGGAAACGAUGUGGGAAGGCCCAGACAGCCAGGAUGUUGGCUUAGAAGCAGCCAUCAUUUAAAGAAAGCGUAAUAGCUCACUGGUCGAGUCGGCCUGCGCGGAAGAUGUAACGGGGCUAAACCAUGCACCGAAGCUGCGGCAGCGACGCUGAUGCGUUGUUGGGUAGGGGAGCGUUCUGUAAGCCUGCGAAGGUGUGCUGUGAGGCAUGCUGGAGGUAUCAGAAGUGCGAAUGCUGACAUAAGUAACGAUAAAGCGGGUGAAAAGCCCGCUCGCCGGAAGACCAAGGGUUCCUGUCCAACGUUAAUCGGGGCAGGGUGAGUCGACCCCUAAGGCGAGGCCGAAAGGCGUAGUCGAUGGGAAACAGGUUAAUAUUCCUGUACUUGGUGUUACUGCGAAGGGGGGACGGAGAAGGCUAUGUUGGCCGGGCGACGGUUGUCCCGGUUUAAGCGUGUAGGCUGGUUUUCCAGGCAAAUCCGGAAAAUCAAGGCUGAGGCGUGAUGACGAGGCACUACGGUGCUGAAGCAACAAAUGCCCUGCUUCCAGGAAAAGCCUCUAAGCAUCAGGUAACAUCAAAUCGUACCCCAAACCGACACAGGUGGUCAGGUAGAGAAUACCAAGGCGCUUGAGAGAACUCGGGUGAAGGAACUAGGCAAAAUGGUGCCGUAACUUCGGGAGAAGGCACGCUGAUAUGUAGGUGAAGCGACUUGCUCGUGGAGCUGAAAUCAGUCGAAGAUACCAGCUGGCUGCAACUGUUUAUUAAAAACACAGCACUGUGCAAACACGAAAGUGGACGUAUACGGUGUGACGCCUGCCCGGUGCCGGAAGGUUAAUUGAUGGGGUCAGCGCAAGCGAAGCUCUUGAUCGAAGCCCCGGUAAACGGCGGCCGUAACUAUAACGGUCCUAAGGUAGCGAAAUUCCUUGUCGGGUAAGUUCCGACCUGCACGAAUGGCGUAAUGAUGGCCAGGCUGUCUCCACCCGAGACUCAGUGAAAUUGAACUCGCUGUGAAGAUGCAGUGUACCCGCGGCAAGACGGAAAGACCCCGUGAACCUUUACUAUAGCUUGACACUGAACAUUGAGCCUUGAUGUGUAGGAUAGGUGGGAGGCUUUGAAGUGUGGACGCCAGUCUGCAUGGAGCCGACCUUGAAAUACCACCCUUUAAUGUUUGAUGUUCUAACGUUGACCCGUAAUCCGGGUUGCGGACAGUGUCUGGUGGGUAGUUUGACUGGGGCGGUCUCCUCCUAAAGAGUAACGGAGGAGCACGAAGGUUGGCUAAUCCUGGUCGGACAUCAGGAGGUUAGUGCAAUGGCAUAAGCCAGCUUGACUGCGAGCGUGACGGCGCGAGCAGGUGCGAAAGCAGGUCAUAGUGAUCCGGUGGUUCUGAAUGGAAGGGCCAUCGCUCAACGGAUAAAAGGUACUCCGGGGAUAACAGGCUGAUACCGCCCAAGAGUUCAUAUCGACGGCGGUGUUUGGCACCUCGAUGUCGGCUCAUCACAUCCUGGGGCUGAAGUAGGUCCCAAGGGUAUGGCUGUUCGCCAUUUAAAGUGGUACGCGAGCUGGGUUUAGAACGUCGUGAGACAGUUCGGUCCCUAUCUGCCGUGGGCGCUGGAGAACUGAGGGGGGCUGCUCCUAGUACGAGAGGACCGGAGUGGACGCAUCACUGGUGUUCGGGUUGUCAUGCCAAUGGCACUGCCCGGUAGCUAAAUGCGGAAGAGAUAAGUGCUGAAAGCAUCUAAGCACGAAACUUGCCCCGAGAUGAGUUCUCCCUGACUCCUUGAGAGUCCUGAAGGAACGUUGAAGACGACGACGUUGAUAGGCCGGGUGUGUAAGCGCAGCG
rnacentral:rRNA from 1 species